UAUCAUUUUAAAAAAAUCUAGUGAUGUCACAACAUCAAUCACUGAAGACACCCGGGUCGUUGGUGUCAUUUUUUUUCUUUCUUAAUCUUUUAUUCAUAUGUCACCUCAUCAUAAGAGUAUAUUAAAGUACAAGGAAAGGUGUCGGAGGCCUCAUUUUACCGCCUGAAGGAUGCGGAUUUUUACACUUCAAUUAUCUAACUCGCACCACAUUUGACAUUUUACAGAACUAUGCCUUAUUUCAGCGCUAUGUGAUUAUAAAAGACAAACACAUGGCCUGAAACCAUCGAGUGUGAUCUCAUCCUCCGUCGUCCAAUUCAAAACAGUAGGAUGCAGAAUCGGCAUUGUUCUCUUUAGUUGGUCACCUUCCAUUAAGACUGAUUGUAUGUUAUUAGUCAGUCACUGAAAACAUGAUAACUAGGUUGUUGUCACGUUCCUGUCGUGAUAUAUAAAGUUUAGUUUGAGAAAAUUGCGAAAUAUUUCAAGCAUUUGGACGAGUAAAAAAGAGAAAAAAAAAGAAGAAAGCAAGAUGUAUGACCUGGAAAAGAAGAUUCCAUUAAAGAAAGACGAGAAAUUUACUUAAUUGAAACAGCUUAAGACCUAUAUAAACAAUAUACGCGUAUAUAUAUACUCUAAUUCGUGAUGGAAUGUUUUAUUAUUAAGUUAUU